UAUAAUAUUGUAAAUUUAAUGUAUAAUGUAUAAAUUGUAUAAUGUUGUAUAUUAUAUAUUGUUCUUUUACAUAAAGCGUUUUAUACUAAAAGUAUGCAAUGGAUACCUAAUUUAGAUUUGUUCAUACAUAUGUUAUUAUUAUCAACAUUGUUUAUUCCAAAUGAGAAACUUAGAUAUAUUGUGUAAGACAAAAUUUACACUUUUAAUAAAUGUCUAACUUGUUUUAUGACAAAGGUUUCAGGAAGUCUUUGGUCACAAAUAUACAAAUUUUAGUCCUCCAGAGUCCAUUGAUUCAUUCAAAGAAACUAAUUAUAAAACACCUGUAUUUAUUACAUUAUCAGCAGGAAUUGAUCCAACACAUGAUGUUGAAGCUGUACGUAAAAAAAAAGGAUUUUCAAUUGAAAAAAAUAACUUCCAUAACAUAUCUUUAGGGCAAGGACAAGAACAAGUAGCACAUAAUGCUAUAGAGUUAAGUUCUUGGUUGGGUAAUUGUGUUGUGGUAAAAGUCAAUACGAAAUUAUAGUUAAUCAUUAACUCACUAUAACAUAAUAUUACUAUUUAUUUGUUAAAGAAUGUGCAUCUAGUGCAAAGAUGGUUGCUUUCUUUGGAUAAAAAAAAUGGAAGCAUCUUUUAAACAUCCACAUGUCAAUUAUAGAAUAUUCAUUAGUGCUGAACCCGCCACUGACCCACUCUAUUACAUUAUUCCUCAAGGAGUUUUAGAUUCUUCAAUCAAAAUUACCAACGGACCACCAACAGGAAAUAUGGAAGAAAAGCUUUAGAUAAUUUCAACUAAGAUAUACUUGGGAUGUGUUCUAAAGAAGCAGAAUUCAAAGUGUUUCUGUUUAGCUUGUGCUAUUGCCAUGCAUCUACAUAGGAAAGAUCGAAGUUUGGAGCUCAAGGACGGAAUAGAUUGUAUCCAUUUAAUGUGGGUGAUUUAACUAUAUCAGUGAAAGUAUUAUAUAACUACCUAGAAGCCAACAAUAAAGUACCUUUUUAGGAUCUUAGAUAUCUUUUUGGAGGAAUCAUGCAAGGUGGACAAAUUACCGACGAUUGGAAAUAGAAGGUGAUAUCUUGAAGACUACAUGAGUCCAGAUCUAGUACUACCUAUUAAAAAUGUUUAUAUUUAUGCACGCAUUACGGUUUAAUACAAUUUUGUUAUUUGAAAUUAUAAAUGGAAGGAGACAGGGCCAGAGAGAGGAGAGAAAUCAAGGGCCCAGGGACAAACUAAUCUGGGCCACCAUACACAGUCAAAUAUUAAACUUAUCACUGACAUCCAGCACCGUCUUUAAAAUUUGUAUAUCAAAAAUGAAUCGUAUAAAUGUUAAAUAAUUAUCAUAUACGUAUUGUUAUAUAA